CCUACGGGUGGCAGCAGUGAGGAAUAUUGGUCAAUGGUCGGGAGACUGAACCAGCCAAGCCGCGUGAGGGAGGAAGGUACAGAGUAUCGUAAACCUCUUUUGUCAGGGAACAAAGACUGGGACGCGUCCCCGGAUGAGUGUACCUGAAGAACAAGCAUCGGCUAACUCCGUGCCAGCAGCCGCGGUAAUACGGAGGACGCGAGCGUUAUCCGGUUUUAUGUGGUUUAAAGGGUGCGCGGGCGGUCUGUAAAGUCAGCGGUCAAAGCCCGGGGCCAAACCCCGGCCCGCCGUUUAAACUGGCAGUCUCGAGUUGGAGAGAAGUAUGCGGAAGGCGCGGUGUAGCGGUGAAAUGCAUAGAUAUCGCGCAGAACUCCGAUUGCGAAGGCAGCAUGCCGGCUCCACACUGACGCUGAGGCACGAAAGCGUGGGUAUCGAACAGGAUUAGAUACCCCUGUAGUC
rnacentral:rRNA from 1 species